UACGUAGGGUGCGAGCGUUAAUCGGAAUUACUGGGCGUAAAGCGUGCGCAGGCGGCUUUGCAAGUCAGAUGUGAAAUCCCCGGGCUUAACCUGGGAACUGCAUUUGUGACUGCAAGGCUGGAGUGCGGCAGAGGGGGAUGGAAUUCCGCGUGUAGCAGUGAAAUGCGUAGAUAUGCGGAGGAACACCGAUGGCGAAGGCAAUCCCCUGGGCCUGCACUGACGCUCAUGCACGAAAGCGUGGGGAGCAAACAGG
rnacentral:rRNA from 1 species